rnacentral:rRNA from 1 species
UGCCAGCAGCCGCGGUAAUACGUAGGUCCCGAGCGUUGUCCGGAUUUAUUGGGCGUAAAGCGAGCGCAGGCGGUUUGAUAAGUCUGAAGUUAAAGGCUGUGGCUCAACCAUAGUUCGCUUUGGAAACUGUCAAACUUGAGUGCAGAAGGGGAGAGUGGAAUUCCAUGUGUAGCGGUGAAAUGCGUAGAUAUAUGGAGGAACACCGGUGGCGAAAGCGGCUCUCUGGUCUGUAACUGACGCUGAGGCUCGAAAGCGUGGGGAGCGAACAGGAUUAGAUACCCUGGUAGUCCACGCCGUAAACGAUGAGUGCUAGGUGUUGGAUCCUUUCCGGGAUUCAGUGCCGCAGCUAACGCAUUAAGCACUCCGCCUGGGGAGUACGACCGCAAGGUUGAAACUCAAAGGAAUUGACGGGGGCCC